CAAUAGCGUAUAUUUAAGUUGUUGCAGUUAAAAAGCUCGUAGUUGGAUUUCGGGUGGGACGCAGCGGUCUCGCAUUGCGUUUGUACUACUGCAGCCCUCCUUCUUGCCGGGGGCGGCCUCUCGGACUUCACUGUCUGGGGGUCAGAAUCGGCGAUGUUACUUUGAGUAAAUUAGAGUGUUCAAAGCAAGCUUACGCUCUGAAUAUAAUAGCAUGGGAUAACACGACAGGACUCUGGCCUAUCGUGUUGGUCUAUAGGACCAGAGUAAUGAUUAAGAGGGACAGUCGGGGGCAUUCGUAUUCCGUUGUCAGAGGUGAAAUUCUUGGAUUUACGGAAGACGAACAUCUGCGAAAGCAUUUGCCAAGGAUGUUUUCAUUGA
rnacentral:rRNA from 1 species